rnacentral:lncRNA from 1 species
AACCUUCAGAGUUCUCUUCCCCUGUCAGAUGGUCCAAGCAGCUGUAGUGACAACCAAUUCAGGAGUACAUAUCUAUCAGCUAGGUAGGUGGUUGUAUUAAAUGUGGAAGUUGCUAUGUGUUUGUAGAUCUUUAUUUUUUACAACUAACGUUGUACGUUUUGUUCUAAUGUAUUUGAAGUAAUGAGAAAAAAUUUUCUGUCCAGUUCAGAAGUUACCUAUUUGUGACUUGGAAUUACGAGCAAGAUAUUGGUAGACAAAUCUUCUGAUUGAAUAAUUUAUUUCUUCAUGGAAGCUCGUGAGCACAAAGCAGGAUACUCUAUCAGAAAAAAUACAUUUUACCCUAAGAUAGAGGCAGAAGUAAAGCACGUUUCAUACUUAAGUUCUUGUUUUGUGCUUUUAUAUAUUACUAAGGGUUGAAUGAGUGAAUAUUACGGCAUAACAUGUAAUAAAACCUUCACAGUAAAAUAUCCUCUUUUCAGAUCUCUGGAACUGCCAGUGAAGCUUCCUUUAACUGCACCAUCUAAUGCAAAACAGCAGGAUAGCCCAUCUGUAUGUGAAGUACUAAAUUCUUGUAAAAGUACCACUAUUUUGUCAAAGGAAGUACACUCAGAUAAACUCAGGUUUGCAUUAUCAUUGCCUUCUGAUAAAAAUAAUCAAAAGUCAAAUGAAAUAGACCAGGUGGAAGCAACUGUUGACACAAAUACAUUUUUAAAAGAAAAUCAGUUACGUACAGAACUAAAGUGCAACAGUGUCUUCCUGACUCAUGUCAAUAAUGCACAAUAUCAGAGACAGUCCGAGGAGCUUACAAAACAGUAUACUGGUAGUUCAUUGCCAUUCUGUGGAAACGUAACUGAAAGAAAGAAACAUACAGCACAUGAUAAGUCAAAAACUCAACAUAAUAUAAAGGAUUUUGAUAAAAAAUGCAGCUCAAAUAGUCUGCUUCAUUGUGGUAUUAAUAGCAGCAGCAACACCAAUGACAUGAGCUGUCACGCAAGAUCCAGUGACUUGUCUCACAGUAUUCCUUCACCUCUUCAGCUUAGCAGUGAAUGUAACAUAGAUUUUAAGAUUUCUGUGGACAAGAUUAAACCUGAAGAAACUGUUUAUGAUGCCGAUAUGGAGUUGACUGCUAGUGAUGUAGGUGAACUACUCACAGUUACAUCAAAAGAUAAACUGCACCAAAAUAAAAAUAGUAAUGCCAAUUCUGGUGAAACAUCAGCAAAUUUCAGAAGAGUAAAAUAUUCUAAGGAGAAAACUAAAAGCAAGCCUAAAGUAAGUUCAGAUUUUUAUGCAGAAGAAACUUGCUCUAAGGCUAACAGUAGUACAGAUUCAAAAACUAACGACUUGGCAACUCAAAUGUUCCAAAACCAGACAGAACAGCUACCUACAGGGAAUUCUUUAGAGAAACAGAGUUUAAAGAAUACCAGCAAAUAUUAUCAAGCACAGGAUUGUCCAAGUAAAGCUAAAGAUACUAGGAGGACAUACCUGGUUAACCUAGUGAGUCCAAGGAAACAAGAACAGGAGACAAAUCAAGACACUUGUCCAGAAAGGUCUGAAGAUAUGGAAAACAAAAUACAAGAAGCAGACUCUAACUCACCUAAUAAUAAGAUCCCACCUGAAAUUUAUUGUGCUGAAAGUUUUCCAUUCAAGGAUAACACCUCUAAUGCAUUGUCUUUACAGCAGGACUUUCUACAUACAAAUGAGAAACAUAUCAACCCAGAAAUGAACAGGAAAGCCUUUCAGAACCCUUCUAAAAAGAAGGCAACAAAACAUUUUAGAGAGGAAAAUGGACAGUAUAGAGAAUAUGGUUCAAAAAAGUCUCAAACAGAGAUAAGCCAACAUGAGUGGAAGAGAAAAGAGCAGAAGAAUAUUAUAAAGAAUAAAUACAACCGAAAAAGUAGUCACAGACAAAGUGGAGAAACUGAAAGUGACAGUGUUCAUAAAAUUAUUCAGAAAAUAGACCGAAGGAGUAAUAAAGUUUCACCAGGCAGAUUAAAACGUACAUUGGCAAAAGCUAGCCGGAAAGCGUGUAUAAUACCAACAGAAAACCUUAGGCAAUUCACACUGCUUAGAAAUGAAGGGUUAAAAAAUAAAAAUGUAUUGCACACAGAUGUUAUCCAUGGAAAUAAAAUAGCUAAAAUGCAGCAAAUACAAGGAGCUUUAGAUUUUCAGAAUGGUGAAGCUAUGAAUGCACUGCAAGCUAGUUCCUCCACAAAGCAAGUGGUUGAUAACAAUACUGACACGUUAAAGAAAGAGGUAGAUUCCUCAUCAGGGGCACAUAGAAAGCCUAACCUUAUUAAUUCUCCUGAUGAUCAGGUAAAGAAUAAAGGGAGCUUUAUUUCUGAUUUUACUGAGAUCAGACCAGAAAAAAAGGUUUUCGGGCAUAUUGACCAGGGGAAGCAGAAUAUUUUGGACAACCAGAAAGUCCCGCCUGAGACAGGUUCCUUUAAGAGCAAGUUAAAGCCUACAGUUCAAAAAUCAGAAUUUUUGAAAUUCUUACCUGUAAACUGUUCUGAGAAUAUGCCAUUAAGUUCAGGUAGAUUUUUCCAGGAAGGUCUUCCCCAUGUGGAGCUCCCAGUUGUUGAUUACCUUAACGUUUCAGUUAACGUCUCUAGCCUGAAAAACUCUGAAUUCUGUGGAAAAAAUGAUCAUGCUAAAACACUGGAUGCUGAAAUAGCAGAGCAAAAACUGGAUCAUACUUACAAAGAAACUUAUAAACAGUCUCUGACACCUUGUCAUGGGAGAAAGGCUUUGCAGGAUCUGACAAAUACCACCAUACGUUCUCACGCUUCCUUACCUAAAUCUCCCAAAACUUUAGAAGAAAAUUUAGCAGCACGAGCUAGACGAAGAAGAACCAGUAUUUGCUACAAAGAACCCAAUCUAAACAGCAAGUUAAGGCGUGGAGAUCAGUUUACAGAUACAGAUUUUCUGGAUUCUCCGGUCUAUAAAGUAAAAAAUAAAAGAAGUUUUAAGAGUAAAUCAAAAUUUAUUUGAAGAAGACAAGAGAAUUGCCUUUAUGAACAGUACUUUUAAAGUACCUUUAAAAUGUACUGCUUUUUUUUUUUUUUUUCCAAAAUGGUAGACUGCUUAUUGUUCUUUGAUAGAUAAAGGUAAAACACAGCCUUCCAGAGUGGAAUUUUCUGGGAAGAAGCCUAUAUGUAAGUGACACAGAAUACCUCACUGAGGAGUACAAUACAGGUUAGACUCUACUGUGGUGUUAGGCAUUUUCAGCCAGUAGAUUAUAGUCUGUUUGAAAGGUUUUUGCAGCAUUUUUUAAUUUGUAAGAAAAAGUGUAAGUUUUAAGGAGACUAAAAAUAAAUCACCUUUGCGAAUUACA